UACAGAGGGUGCGAACGUUGCUCGGAAUUACUGGGCGUAAAGCGCGUGUAGGCGGUCUGUUAAGUUGGUAGUGAAAUCCCAUGGCUCAACCAUGGAAGUGCUGCCAAAACUGGCAGGCUGGAGUGCCGGAGAGGGUGGCGGAAUUCCCAGUGUAGAGGUGAAAUGCGCAGAUAUCAGGAGGAACACCGAUGGCGAAGGCAGCUCGCUGGGACGGUACUGACGCUGAGGCGACGAAAGCGGUGGGGAGCAAACAGG
rnacentral:rRNA from 1 species